rnacentral:lncRNA from 1 species
AUUUCAACUUUUUUGUUAUAAUAGAUUGAAAUAAUACAUAUCUAAGAAAUUUAAAAAAAAAAAAAAAAAAAAUAUGGGAUGUACUUGAUUCUUGUAAAAUCAUUUUUUGUAUCCCUCACCUAUUUUCUCAAAAUUUUGGCUAAAAAUACUGACUUGAUUGGUAGUAAAAUUUGAAAACUGGAUUACUCAAAAACCGUUCAUUGUAAAU